CCAGACCGCCAGCUAAGGUCCCAAAGUCAUGGUUAAGUGGGAAACGAUGUGGGAAGGCCCAGACAGCCAGGAUGUUGGCUUAGAAGCAGCCAUCAUUUAAAGAAAGCGUAAUAGCUCACUGGUCGAGUCGGCCUGCGCGGAAGAUGUAACGGGGCUAAACCAUGCACCGAAGCUGCGGCAGCGACGCUUAUGCGUUGUUGGGUAGGGGAGCGUUCUGUAAGCCUGCGAAGGUGGCCUGUGAGGGUUGCUGGAGGUAUCAGAAGUGCGAAUGCUGACAUAAGUAACGAUAAAGCGGGUGAAAAGCCCGCUCGCCGGAAGACCAAGGGUUCCUGUCCAACGUUAAUCGGGGCAGGGUGAGUCGACCCCUAAGGCGAGGCCGAAAGGCGUAGUCGAUGGGAAACGGGUUAAUAUUCCCGUACUUGGUGUUACUGCGAAGGGGGGACGGAGAAGGCUAUGUUGGCCGGGCGACGGUUGUCCCGGUUUAAGCGUGUAGGUGUGUGUUCCAGGUAAAUCCGGUUCACUUUAACACUGAGGCGUGACGACGAGGCACUACGGUGCUGAAGCAACAAAUGCCCUGCUUCCAGGAAAAGCCUCUAAGCAUCAGGUAACAUCAAAUCGUACCCCAAACCGACACAGGUGGUC
rnacentral:rRNA from 1 species